rnacentral:rRNA from 1 species
GACGAACGCUGGCGGCGUGCUUAACACAUGCAAGUCGAACGGAAAGGCCCAGCUUGCUGGGUGCUCGAGUGGCGAACGGGUGAGUAACACGUUGGUGAUCUGCCCCUAACUUCGGGAUAAGCUUGGGAAACUGGUUCUAAUACCGGAUAGGACAAUCGUUUAGUGUCGGUUGUGGAAAGUUUUUUCGGUUAGGGAUGAGCCCGCGGCCUAUCAGCUUGUUGGUGGGGUAAUGGCCUACCAAGGCGUCGACGGGUAGCCGGCCUGAGAGGGUGGACGGCCACAUUGGGACUGAGAUACGGCCCAGACUCCUACGGGAGGCAGAAGUGGGGAAUAGUGCACAAUGGGCGCAAGCCUGAUGCAGCGACGCCGCGUGGGGGAUGACGGCCUUCGGGUUGUAAACCUCUUUCGACAGGGACGAAGCUUUGGUGACGGUACCUGUAUAAGAAGCACCGGCUAACUACGUG